rnacentral:rRNA from 1 species
GCGUAAAGAGCUUGUAGGCGGUUUGUCGCGUCUGCUGUGAAAGGCCGGGGCUUAACUCCGUGUAUUGCAGUGGGUACGGGCAGACUAGAGUGCAGUAGGGGAGACUGGAAUUCCUGGUGUAGCGGUGGAAUGCGCAGAUAUCAGGAGGAACACCGAUGGCGAAGGCAGGUCUCUGGGCUGUAACUGACGCUGAGAAGCGAAAGCAUGGGGAGCGAACAGGAUUAGAUACCCUGGUAGUCCAUGCCGUAAACGUUGGGCACUAGGUGUGGGGGACAUUCCACGUUUUCCGCGCCGUAGCUAACGCAUUAAGUGCCCCGCCUGGGGAGUACGGCCGCAAGGCUAAAACUCAAAGAAAUUGACGGGGGCCCGCACAAGCGGCGGAGCAUGCGGAUUAAUUCGAUGCAACGCGAAGAACCUUACCAAGGCUUGACAUAUACUGGACCGCAUCAGAGAUGGUGUUUCCCUUCGGGGCUGGUAUACAGGUGGUGCAUGGUUGUCGUCAGCUCGUGUCGUGAGAUGUUGGGUUAAGUCCCGCAACGAGCGCAACCCUCGUUCUAUGUUGCCAGCACGUUAUGGUGGGGACUCAUAGGAGACUGCCGGGGUCAACUCGGAGGAAGGUGGGGAUGACGUCAAAUCAUCAUGCCCCUUAUGUCUUGGGCUUCACGCAUGCUACAAUGGCCGGUACAGAGGGUUGCGAUACUGUGAGGUGGAGCUAAUCCCUAAAAGCCGGUCUCAGUUCGGAUUGGGGUCUGCAACUCGACCCCAUGAAGUCGGAGUCGCUAGUAAUCGCAGAUCAGCAACGCUGCGGUGAAUACGUUCCCGGGCCUUGUACACACCGCCCGUCAAGUCACGAAAGUUGGUAACACCCAAAGCCGGUGGCCUAACCCUUUGGGAGGGAGCCGUCUAAGGG